AUUCGAUGGCAAGUUUUUAGAAGCAUUCAAUCGAAGCUGCUGAAUAAGAAGGAGAGCCUGACACACGGAGUACUUGUAUUUGAUGAAAUGCAGGUGCGGCAGGGCACAGAUGUGAACGCAAUGAUGUUUUUCUACAUUGGUCAUGUGCAAAACGACGACACCAGUGAACGUGCACUGGCAAACCAUGCUUUGGUGUUCAUGUUCGUGCCGUUUGCCGACAGUUACACACAGCCUGUCAGUUGUUUGCGUCAAGAAGUCCAACAAAGGUGCUCAUCCAGGCUGGUGCAGAAGUAAAUAUCACAAUAUAUUUUGAAAGACUAUAUAUCGACGCAAUAAAUCGGCUGGGAACACUUUGCUAAUGAA